rnacentral:rRNA from 1 species
CAGUCGCCGCGGGAAUACGUAGGUGGCAAGCGUUGUCCGGAAUUAUUGGGCGUAAAGGGCGCGUAGGCGGCGAUCAAAGUCAGGCGUGAAAUUCCUGGGCUCAACCUGGGGGCUGCGUUUGAUACUUGAUUGCUAGAGUGGGGAAGAGGGUCGUGGAAUUACCAGUGUAGAGGUGAAAUUCGUAGAUAUUGGGGAGAACACCAGUGGCGAAGGCGGCGACCUGGUCCUUGACUGACACUGAGAGACGAAAGCUAGGGGAGCAAAUGGGAUUAGAUACCCCAGUAGUCCCUGUCUCUUAUAC